UACGUAGGCAGCAAGCGUUGUUCGGAGUUACUGGGCGUAAAGGGUGCGUAGGCGGCCCUGUAAGUAUGGUGUGAAAUCUCCCGGCUUAACUGGGAGGGUGCGCUAUAGACUGCGGGGCUCGAGUGUGGGAGAGGAAAGUGGAAUUCCUGGUGUAGCGGUGAAAUGCGUAGAUAUCAGGAGGAACACCGGUGGUGUAAACGGCUUUCUGGACCAUAACUGACGCUGAGGCACGAAAGCGUGGGUAGCAAACGGG
rnacentral:rRNA from 1 species